rnacentral:rRNA from 1 species
UACGAAGGGGGCUAGCGUUGCCCGGAAUCACUGGGCGUAAAGGGUGCGUAGGCGGGUCUUUAAGUCAGGGGUGAAAUCCUGGAGCUCAACUCCAGAACUGCCUUUGAUACUGGGUAUCUCGAGUUCGAGAGAGGUGAGUGGAAUUCCGAGUGUAGAGGUGAAAUUCGUAGAUAUUCGGAGGAACACCAGUGGCGAAGGCGGCUCACUGGCUCGAUACUGACGCUGAGGUGCGAAAGCGUGGGGAGCAAACAGG